AUUGAUUAAUUUAUUAAUUUUUAUGUUAUAAAUUUAUAAAAAAAAUAAUUUUAUUUUAUUAAUUUUUACGAAAAAAUUUUUAUUAUUAAAUUACAGAAAUGGAUAAUUUUAAAUUUUUUAAAGAAAUUUUUUUUUUGUACCUUGUGUAUCAGGGUUAAUUAAAAUAAAUUUAAAAAUUUAAAUUUCCCGAAUUUAAAUGAUUUAAUUUAAAAUUUAUUUUAAUGUAAUAUAAUUAUUUAAAAUUUUAAAUUGGAAAUAAGAUGUUAACCGAAUUUAAAUAUAUCUGGUUCUUAAAGAAACUAAUUUAAUUAGGUUUUAAACUGAUAAUUAUAUAAAUUUUUAUUUUAUUAACAGUUUAUUUAAAUAUUUUACGGGAUAAGCUGUAAUUUAUAGAUUAAAAUUUUAUUUAAAUUAAAUAAAAUUUAAAAUUAGAAUUUUUUAUUUUUUAUAUUAUUUUAUAAUUAACUAUUUAAAAAUUUAAUUUUUUUACGAUUUAAUUUUAUAUUUAAGUUUUAAUUAAAAUUUUUUAAGUUAAAAAAUAAUGAUUAAAUUAGUAAAUUAUUUAUUUAUGUAUAUAAAUAAAUUUUUAAUUUAGAUAAAGUAACUCGGCAAAUAUAAUUUUCAACUGUUUAUUAAAAACAUUUUUUUUUGAAUUCAUUUAAAGUAAAACCUGCCCAAUGAUAAUUUAAAUGGCUGCAGUAUCAUGACUGUACAAAGGUAGCAUAAUAAUUAGUUUAUUAAUUAUAAGCUGGAAUGAAAGGUUAAAUGAAAAAUUUUCUGUCUCUAUCUAAUUAAAUUAAACUUUAUUUUUAAGUUAAAAAGCUUAAAUGAUUUAAAAAGACGAGAAGACCCUAUAAAGUUUUAUAAACUUAAAAUAAAAUUUUAUUGAAAAACUACUAUUUUAUUACAAAAUUUAUUUUGUUGGGGUGACAAAAAAACUAAAUUAACUUUAUUAAUAAAAACCAAUAUUAAUUGACUCUUUGAUCCUAAAUUUUAGAUUACAAGAUUAAAUUACUUUAGGGAUAACAGCGUAAUUUUUCUUGAGAGUUCUUAUCAAUAGAAAAGUUUGCGACCUCGAUGUUGGAUUAAAAUUUAUUUAAAGUGCAAAAGCUUAAAAAUUAAGUCUGUUCGACUUUUAAAAUUUUACAUGAUCUGAGUUUAAACCGGUGUAAGCCAGGUUGGUUUCUAUCUUUUAAAAUUAAUUAUAUAUUAGUACGAAAGGACCAUUUAUAAAAUUCAAAGAAUUACUUUUGAAUUCUAA
rnacentral:rRNA from 1 species